rnacentral:rRNA from 1 species
CUGGUCCCUUCCGUAAGGGUGACCUGCGGAAGGAUCAUUACCGAGUUUUCGGGCUUCGGCUCGACUCUCCCACCCUUUGUGAACGUACCUCUGUUGCUUUGGCGGCUUCGGCCGCCAAAGGACCUUCAAACUCCAGUCAGUAAACGCAGACGUCUGAUAAACAAGUUAAUAAACUAAAACUUUCAACAACGGAUCUCUUGGUUCUGGCAUCGAUGAAGAACGCAGCGAAAUGCGAUAAGUAAUGUGAAUUGCAGAAUUCAGUGAAUCAUCGAAUCUUUGAACGCACAUUGCGCCCCUUGGUAUUCCGGGGGGCAUGCCUGUUCGAGCGUCAUUACAACCCUCAAGCUCUGCUUGGAAUUGGGCACCGUCCUCACUGCGGACGCGCCUCAAAGACCUCGGCGGUGGCUGUUCAGCCCUCAAGCGUAGUAGAAUACACCUCGCUUUGGAGCGGUUGGCGUCGCCCGCCGGACGAACCUUCUGAACUUUUCUCAAGGUUGACCUCGGAUCAGGUAGGGAUACCCGCUGAACUUAAGCAUAUCAUAGGCCGGGAGGAAAAAGGGGAG